rnacentral:lncRNA from 10 species
CUAGUGAAAUACAACAUGAAUGUGUCAUUACAAUCAAUUGCUGACAGUUUUAUGUGGCCCAUUCAUAAAAUCAUACUAAGCACUUUCCUAUUCUGGUGUUCAGAUACUAACCUCUGGACCUCUCUCUCCACCAUCACCUUUUCUGCCACCAUUCAGUUAUUCCACAAAUGUUUGCUAAGCACGUAGCAAACACUAGCCAUUGUCCUAGGUGCCUGGGCGAAGAGUCCCAUAGGCCUUGCCUUCAAGGAGUUCAUAGUUUAAGACCUGGGACACUGCUUCAGAAUUAGGUUAUUAACAGCAACACAAUUUUAUGUCUACCAUCUUGAGUAUAAUAAAAAUAUUGUAGGUGAGAGUAUUCAGAAAGGUACCGACCAUACCUGUGUUGGAAAUUACAGACACAUGGAGUAAAAGAUAAAGUUUAGAAAUUGUUGGUUUUGUCAGCUCCCAUUUAAGACUUUCUUGUUCACUGACCAGGUCCUUAAUCAUUCAACAGAGACAUAAUAACUUUAUUGGAUGGAGCAAUACUUCUUGCUAAUCAGCAUAUACACACCCAGUGACCUUGCAUGAAGAAGCAGCCUGUCUGCAGAAGAUUGCAUCUCAUCUAUACAAAGCAGGAGUGAUGUUGUCAAUGUGUGUGUGUGCAUGCAUUUAUGUAUCUGUAUGCUUGUGCAGAGAGGGGAAGAUGGGGGAGGGGAUGUGGCUUUGUUACUUAGCUUGCUUGAUUUUUAUCCACAGUUAUUAAGAGGUAAAACAUUGUAGCUCAACCCCUAGAAGUGGUCGUUUGCUUUACAGAGAGGAAAAUCUCUGCCCCCUUACCAUGGCUUGCAUUUCCAGCCCCAAAAGGCAAAAACAGGGAGCACGUAACUCAGUGGAAUCAAUAGCACGACCAGAAAGUCAAUUCAGUCAUAUGAUGGUGGAUCAGUAUCAUCAUUGUAAAGGAGAGGAGAUCACUGUACUGUCAGAUGCAUCACUCUGACUUUCCCCCAUCACUGUAGUCCCAGCUACUCAGGAGGUGGAAGUGGCAGGAUCGUUUGAGCCUGGGAGGUUGAGGCUUCAGUGAGCCAAGACUGCACCACUGCACUCUAAUCUGGGUGUUAGAGCAAGACCCUG